rnacentral:rRNA from 1 species
GUGGGGAAUAUUGGACAAUGGGGGGAACCCUGAUCCAGCCAUGCCGCGUGUGUGAAGAAGGCCUUUUGGUUGUAAAGCACUUUAAGCGAGGAGGAGGCUACCGAGAUUAAUACUCUUGGAUAGUGGACGUUACUCGCAGAAUAAGCACCGGCUAACUCUGUGCCAGCAGCCGCGGUAAUACAGAGGGUGCAAGCGUUAAUCGGAUUUACUGGGCGUAAAGCGCGCGUAGGUGGCCAAUUAAGUCAAAUGUGAAAUCCCCGAGCUUAACUUGGGAAUUGCAUUCGUUACUGGUUGGCUAGAGUAUGGGAGAGGAUGGUAGAAUUCCAGGUGUAGCGGUGAAAUGCGUAGAGAUCUGGAGGAAUACCGAUGGCGAAGGCAGCCAUCUGGCCUAAUACUGACACUGAGGUGCGAAAGCAUGGGGAGCAAACAGGAUUAGAAACCCCGGUAGUCC